CCUACGGGAGGCAGCAGUGGGGAAUAUUGGGCAAUGGGCGCAAGCCUGACCCAGCAACGCCGCGUGAAGGAAGAAGGCUUUCGGGUUGUAAACUUCUUUUCUGCGGGACGAAGAAAGUGACGGUACCUCAGGAAUAAGCCACGGCUAACUACGUGCCAGCAGCCGCGGUAAUACGUAGGUGGCAAUCGUGAUCCGGAUUUAUUGGGUGUAAAGGGCGUGUAGGCGGGAAAGCAAGUCAGAUGUGAAAACUCAGGGCUCAAACCUGAGCCUGCAUUUGAAACUGGUUUUCUUGAGUGCUGGAGAGGCAAGCGGAAUGCCGGGUGUAGCGGUGAAAUGCGUAGAUAUACGGAGGAACACCAGUGGCGAAGGCGGAUUGCUGGACAGUAACUGACGCUGAGGCGCGAAAGCGUGGGGAGCAAACAGGAUUAGAUACCCGAGUAGUC
rnacentral:rRNA from 1 species